CCCAUGCAAUAAUACAAAGUACUAAUAUUGACACCCUUCUCACCAGGCCUGCCUGGUGAGAGUGCUGAGAACACAAAUUUAUUCUGACUUUCACCUGCAGAGAAAUCCACCUCAUUAGGAUAACGAUUUUCCUUGAAGGAUUUUUGCCUUCAUUUCUCCAGGGUGAGAAUAAAAAAUCCCAGAGUGGCUUGGUUUGGAAGGGACCUUAAAGCUCAUUUAGUCAUGGGCCUAAAUCUCUACAGCACCCAGUGAAACAGGGAUGAUCUUUCAUUCUGCUUUUCUUUUGCAUCUAGACCAAAUCACAUCAGAUUUCAAGUGAUUACCUUCAGAGUAAGAUCUCCUCCAGGAUAAACCACUCCAGCAGGACAUUUCCAUUCCUUAUUUCCCUAACCAAGCUGAGCCACAGACAUCCCCAGAUGUGGCUCAGAAUGUUGUUUGUCUUCAUCCAGAAGAAAGAUCAAUUCUGUUGUGGAAACAGUGCACAGCAUGGGAUCACUCUAAUCAAUCUGAGCAGGCCUUGGUAAAAGUAUCUGGUAGUCUGCAAUCCAGCAGCAUCAAAGCUAAUUAAUACUUUAGUCAGCUUAAUGAAUGUAUUAGUGGUUAAUAUUUGUGUAUAAGCUCCUCAUAACUCAAUAAUCCUAUCCCAUUUGCAUUAUUAAUAGGACAGGUAUGAGCUGAUUGAUCAUAAAACCCAUUAACUCAGAUUUGUGCUGCCUUCAGUUCCCUCCACGGAAGAGCCGGAAUCGCUGAGGAUUGCAGGGAGCAGACUCUGUACAGGCCUUUUCAGACUCCAGGCUUUGUGUUCUACAAAGAGAAAUAAAAAAGUGCUUCAUCCUCUUCAGCAGCCUUGAAAGCUUUUGCUUAUUCACAGCCCCUCGCAACAGAGGCCAGAUAAUCCUCUGGAAGGGGAAAGCACCGUUCCAACGCUGCGGAGAGAGCGUGCAGGCAGAUGAAUUCCAUUGGAACAACAAUAAAAAACAGAGAUCAGGAAAAAGCAGCUCAUUCCUUUGGAGACUCAUCUUUUUAAUGCACCAUUUCCACAGGAUCUUCUAA
rnacentral:lncRNA from 1 species